rnacentral:lncRNA from 1 species
GAGGCUGCCUCCGGCUUCACCGCUCCUCCCCGAGCACAGCCUUUGUGGGGCCUACGGGGCAGUAGGAGACAGGACGCUUGUCCUGCGGAAUGGCAAGGAAUCAGCUCUCCAUUUCAGGGCAAAGUGGGGCCUGGAUUGUGGGCCUUGAACAUGAAGGCAGGUGGGCGAGGGACUAGGGGACCGCGUGAGGCCCGACGUGCACACGGCAGGGCCCGGCACCCAUGGUUGCGUUCGGUCGGCCUUGGCCGGCUGGCUCCUGCUUGGAAACUUGCUGGGUGGUGUCUGCGGGGAAACAGUACUGAGUCUGGUGAGGAGGCAAACGCUCAGAAUCUACUGCAGGUGUUAGUUCUGCAGAGGAGUCUUCCUGCUUAAGGGCUCAUUUGAUGUUCUGGAAAUUUGCCAGGUACUGAAAUACAGCCAGUCUUCCCAAAGAUUCCUCCGCUCCUCUGAGUGCACGUGUGUGUGUGUGUGUGUGUGUGUACAGCCACACAACCUGACUCUUUGUUCACACACACGGGCCCUGGCCAAGUGUGAGGGUCUCCACGUGACGAAGGAAAUGAGUAAACAACUUCAACAUUGUUGUUUCCCUCUGAGGCUUGCAAAGAAGGUGUUAAGAGCACAAGAUUUAAAUCAUAAACUUUAUUAAAAGCCAAACAGCCCAAUGUGCGAUUCUUGCCAACUUGGACAGAGUCUUUGGGGUAAUGCUACACGGAGCUAAUCCAGAAGGAAUCGAGUGGAGGAAGACAGCAGGGUGGGGGUGAGCCCACGCGUCCAGCCAGGAGAGGCAGAGGGAGGCACAGCCCCGACACAGCCACCCACCCCGUGGCCAGAGCAGGGUGGCGCAGGAGCUGGCAAGACCUCUAAGCUGUUCCUGCUUCUGCUCUCCUCACACUGUUUCCUUAGCAAAUGGAGCCUCCUUCACGCCUAAAGGGCCCAGAGCAAGGCAGGGGGAGGAGGGCCGACCCCUGCAAGACUGAGAACUGGCCAGAAUUGCCCACUUGCUAGACUAGCAAGAGAGCGAAGUCCCAGUGGGUACCCCCGACGAAGGACACCCGUUCCUUACCCCCCACCCAGAGGCACCCUUCCUCCUCCAAACACAAGAUGCUGCUCCAGCAGGGGCAGGGACCAUGUCAGCCUCCCACAAGACACACACGGGAAAGCCCUGCUUGUGAGGGCGCCACACCCAGGGCAGGAAUCAGAAUGAAGACACGACUCCACAGUGAGCACGGGGCUCAGGACAGGACCCAGCGUGGCAGACCAGCCAGAGAAGCUUUCACACUGCAAACAGCCCGCUCCACCUACACCCCGACUGGGCUCCACGACUCCCCGCAAGUGCCCUGCCACCUCAGGCACCUGCCCCCACGCCCACUCAGCGUCACCCCCUCGGCGGUUCAUCUCCAGAAGGCUUGGAAUUGAUGACGUUUCCGCACCACGAGGGGCUUUUGCGAUUCUGCGUCACUGAACUUGCAUCUCAUCCCCACGAUCCGACAUAAGCUUGCCAAGGACAGGACCUCGUGGCACCCGGGACAGGGGCCACCCCAUCCUACAUGUGACAAAGCUGUCCCUCCGUGGAGCUGGCGUCUCUGAUUUCCUCGGCCUGAGGGAGGCAGUGAAGAUGAAGGAAGGAGGGAGGGCGCCUUGGUGGUGGGUGCAGCUCUGUGCUGGUCUUUCUCUGGCCACCUAGACUUCAGUGGCCAAAUGGCUUCAGGAGACCCACUGGUCUUUCCUGUUUUAUUUUAUUUUUUACUUUUUUUUUAUUUUUAUUUUUUGAGACAGAGUUUCGCUCUUGGUGCCCAGGCUGAAGUGCAAUGGUGCCAUCUCAGCUCACCGCAACCUCUGCCUCCCAGGUUCAAGCAAUUCUCCUGCCUCAGCCUCCCAAGUAGCUGAGAUUACAGCCAUGCACCACCACGCCUGGCUAAUUUUUUGUAUUUUUUUUUUUUUUUUAGUAGAGAUAGGGAUGAGCCACCGCGCCCAGCCAGUCUUUCCUGUAUUAACAAAAGUAUUGGUAGUAGCAUUAGGUGUUAAAAAUUAUCAGCACAGCUUGGGACUGGCCACAAAAUUCUUCUAAAUCUCCCCAGGAUAAUCUCAUGAGAGCACGGAUGCUUUGCCCAGAAUCUCUGCAACCGAGGAAGGUCUGUGGCACGGGGUGGGCCCUGAGAGACUUCACCUAAAAACUUUGGGUUCAUUCCCCACCCGUGUGUGUAUGUAGGUGUCUCUGUAGACAGUGAUUAAAAAUACUCCUGACU